UAGCUCAGUUGGUAGAGCAUGGUGUUUACAACACCAGGUUUGUGGGUUUGAUUCCCAC
rnacentral:tRNA from 1 species